rnacentral:hammerhead_ribozyme from 1 species
AUCCAGCUGAUAAGUCCUAAAUAGGACGGGACUCGCGUCCUGGAU